GAUGAACGCUGGCGGCGUGCCUAAUACAUGCAAGUCGAGCGAACAGACGAGGAGCUUGCUCCUCUGACGUUAGCGGCGGACGGGUGAGUAACACGUGGAUAACCUCCCUAUAAGACUGGGAUAACUUCGGGAAACCGGAGCUAAUACCGGAUAAUAUAUUGAACCGCAUGGUUCAAUAGUGAAAGACGGUUUUGCUGUCACUUAUAGAUGGAUCCGCGCCGCAUUAGCUAGUUGGUACGGUAACGGCUUACCAAGGCAACGAUGCGUAGCCGACCUGAGAGGGUGAUCGGCCACACUGGAACUGAGACACGGUCCAGACUCCUAAGGGAGGCAGCAGUAGGGAAUCGUCCGCAAUGGGCGAAGGCCUGACGGAGCAACGCCGCGUGAGUGAUGAAGGUCUUCGGAUCGUAAAACUCUGUUAUUAGGGAAGAACAGAUGUGUAAGUAACUAUGCACGGCUUGACGGUACCUAAUCAGAAAGCCACGGCUAACUACGUG
rnacentral:rRNA from 1 species